AAUAAGUACAGUUUUGCACUGUUCACGUUCAACGUUUAACCGUUCGUCUUAUUUAUAAAUUUUUUAUGAUUAGUAUUUUUAUUGCUAUUAGAUAAUAAAACAUGACUAUUACUUUAUGUGUGACUGAAUAUUUUUAAAUUUCUCACAAAAUUUUCAAAUAAGACGGACGGUCAAAUAUUGGGCACGGAUAUACACGGCUGCAUUUAUU
rfam:Oryza nivara chromosome 9, whole genome shotgun sequence.